GUUAGCUGCUGCAGCUGCUGCCCUUGCUGUUAUUAUCAUUUAUGGUUAUUAUUGAAAUUUUGCCUCUUUCUCAAGGCUCAACUCAAACUCCAUCUCUUCCAUGAAUUCUUUCUUUUUAUCUCCUGUACUUCCCAAAUGAAACUGCUCUCUUUCCCUCUCCCCCUCCCCUUUCAUCUCUUUCUCUUACCCCUACCUCCUCCCCAUCCCUCUCCUCCUCUCUUCUGGUAGCUUGUACCUUUCGUCUGGUAGUUCUGCCUUGGAUUUGUAGCUAUUGAAACAUCUGAUUGUAAGACUGAGGAUAAGUCCAGGGCCAUGAAGUUGCACACCUCCAGGUGGUUGGUGGCCCUGGAGUUGUGCCAUGCAGCAGCCCUGGCAAAGCCCAUCUUAUUCAUCCUUGAUUCUUCUCAGGACAGAGCAUUGCACACAGCAGAUGUUCGAUGAAGAUAUGUUUAAUUUAAUUGGAUAUCACAAGGGUCACAAAUAGUACUCCAUUAAGAUAAUUGCCACAUCAUUUUGCUUGUUUGCUUUUUAGGAGACUAAACUCUGUGUUUGUAGAAACUGAGUCUUCUUUGGAAGUACAUAGUCUUCCAAAGAAGACAGGAAUAUUUGCCAAAUGAAUAAGUGCGACGUCAUGAUAGUGAUUCAGUAGUAGAUUUGGUUUGGGGAGUUGGUGAGCUUAUUCCAUAAAAGAAAUCCUAAUUUUAUUUUGUGUCUUGAUUUUUGUGGUGGGUGGGACUGAGCAGCCAACAAGGAGAGCCUGCCAGAACUGAGCACAGCUCAGCAGAACAAGCUGAAGCAUCUUACCAUCGUGAGCUUGGCAUCAAGAAUGAAGUGUAUCCCCUACUCCGUGUUGCUGAAAGAUCUGGAGAUGCGGAAUCUCCGGGAACUAGAAGACCUCAUCAUUGAGGCUGUCUACACUGACAUCAUCCAGGGCAAGCUGGACCAGCGAAACCAGCUGCUGGAAGUGGAUUUCUGCAUUGGCCGUGACAUCCGAAAGAAGGAUAUCAAUAAUAUUGUCAAGACCCUGCAUGAAUGGUGUGAUGGCUGUGAAGCAGUUCUGCUGGGCAUCGAGCAGCAAGUUCUGAGAGCCAACCAGUACAAAGAGAACCACAACCGAACUCAACAGCAGGUAGAAGCAGAGGUUACCAACAUCAAGAAGACACUCAAAGCCACCGCAUCCUCCUCGGCUCAGGAGAUGGAGCAGCAGCUGGCUGAACGGGAGUGUCCCCCUCACGCUGAGCAGAGGCAGCCCACCAAGAAGAUGUCCAAAGUGAAAGGUCUGGUCUCCAGCCGCCACUAGGGCCGGCUGGGGCAGCUGGCACUCACCAGGCCUGGGUCAGGUGGGGAGGGGACACCAAGGGCCCAUUUCCUCCCCUCUCUACCUGCAGUGAGUUCCAGACCUGCCCGUCCCCUCACCAGCACCUCCCCACCCUGUUGGUACUGUUCCAGAAAAACUGUUACUCCCCCUCACCCACUCCGUCCUUCCCCAGUUGUUCCCUUCAGACUCAGGGGCUCCACCAAUGCCAUCCCAAAACAGGGUCAGACACUGCCCAGCUUCCCUCCAGGAGGUUCUUGUCUCUGUGUAAGGGCUUGUCUCCCUCCCAGUUUUUCUUUUGCUCCAUGUCAUUUUGUCAGGCUGGUUAUAAGCCGGAGGCAGCUUUAACCAGCCUCCAGGGAUGAUUGUGAAGGAGGCCCCUCCCCUUGUGAGGAGGGGGCGCUCCUCUCCAGCCCCUCGUACCACAGUCCUCACGAUGGUGCAGCGAUUUCUAGCCAGGCGUCAGGAUGCGCUGCUUUCCCUCUCCUGCCUCAUCCCUUGUUGGCAGCUCCAGUUCAGGCCGUGGAGGGACGUGAUGCUGGGCUGUGUUUACUAAACCCACGGGUUUUCAGCCUCUUAAGCCCAGCUCCGAUCUCCGAUUAGUUGGGAGCACUGGGUUGACUAACCUCUGGUAUCUGAGCACAGACAGAGGGUGCUGUGGAUCUGCUGGGUGGCAGAAAUGGUUCCUUCCGGCUUGGCGUUCUCUCCUGGCCACUCUUCCUGCUGCCUCUGACUACUCAGCCUUGUUUUUGGUGUGUAGGCCCCAGCUGCCUACUGGAACUGCCGGCUAAUGCUUGCUCUCCCAAGAUCUUUAACUCCUGGCUGCACCUGGGUAGGGAUGGUGGCACCGAUGCCCCUCUGUCUGCUGAAGGACCUGUUGCUGCUUCUGUCUUUUCACCCCUGCUUGGCUGAUGACCCAGAGCCCUCUGAUGAUGGCAUUCUCCUGGCAAGAGAAAAAGACUUAACUAGACUUCUGAACUUGAACAGUUUCAGGUUAUAUUUUAAUUUUUUUUUUUUGUACAGGUUCUGAUUCUAAUACAUUUCAACAUGCUUUUGUC
rnacentral:sRNA from 1 species